rnacentral:rRNA from 1 species
UACGAAGGGGGCUAGCGUUGCUCGGAAUCACUGGGCGUAAAGCGCACGUAGGCGGAUUGCUAAGUCAGGGGUGAAAUCCUGGAGCUCAACUCCAGAACUGCCUUUGAUACUGGCGAUCUCGAGUCCGGGAGAGGUGAGUGGAACUGCGAGUGUAGAGGUGAAAUUCGUAGAUAUUCGCAAGAACACCAGUGGCGAAGGCGGCGCACUGGCCCGGUACUGACGCUGAGGCGCGAAAGCGUGGGGAGCAAACAGG